rnacentral:tRNA from 1 species
GCCACCUUAGCUCAGCUGGUAGAGCAGCACUUUCGUAAAGUGAAGGUCCCCGGUUCGAUUCCGGGAGGUGGCU